AUUUGGCUCUGAAAUCUUGCUGUGUCAAUUCAAUUCCAGCAAGUUCCAGAGCCUUUUG
rnacentral:pre_miRNA from 1 species